CAACAAUUGAUUUUCACAAACAGCAUAGGUUUCUGAAACAAAGCCCUAAUUUGUUUUCUUCAUCAUAGCUCCGAACCACCAUUGAAGUUACUCACUCAAAUUUGUCUUUUGAAAUCAAAAGCCUUUUGAAAUUUCUGGGUGAGACGGUAUCAGAAUCAGGGAAAGAUGAAGGAUUUGCGAAGAAUAGUUCAUUUCUAGAGCUAUUGCCUAUUGUUAGGCAACAAAUAAUUGAUGGAUUCACUCCCAAGGCUAUUGAUGUGUUUCGAAGAGAAUUUGAUUUCUUUGAUAAAGUGACAUCUAUAUCCGGUGUGCUCUUUCCAAAGGAGGAAUGACGAGAUGGUAUACAGAGGUAUUUUUCUAUUUUGGUUGUGUUAAUUAAAAUAAUACUGUGUUUUGUGGCUGUUGAAGAUGGAUUCUAAUCUUCUUUUUUAAAACAGAGAGUU